ensembl:lncRNA
CCCAGCUCUUUCAGCCUAUCUUCAUAGGAGAGGUCCUCCAUCCCUCUGAUCAUCUUUGUGGCCCUCUGCUGGACUUGUUCCAAUAGAUCCAUGUCCUUCUUGUGCUGAGGACUACAAAGUUGGAGGGAGUACUCCAGGUGGAGUCUCGUGAGAGCAGAGUAGAGGGGCAGAAUCACCUCCCUGGACCUGCUGACCGCCCUUUUUUUCAUACAUCCCAGGAUGCAGUUGGCUUUCUGGGCUGCCAGCGAACAUUGCCGACUCAUGUUGAGCUUUUCAUCCAUGAACACUCCCAAGUCCUUCUCCUCAGGGCUGCUCUCCAGCCAUUCUCCACCCAACCUGUAUUUGUGCCUGGGAUUGCUAUGAAUCUUCAACUCCUCUAGGCAUCUGGUUAUUUUGCUCUAUUUUAAAUGUCUAAAUUUGGUCUCUUAAUGUGAAAGCUCAGUGUCUUCUGUUGUGUGGUAUGGACAUAUCCAGACCUGACAGUAAACUUAAAGAUUAUAUGGCCAUAAGGAACUAUUCUGCCCAGUGGGCAAUAGCUGAAAGACAUGCUAGAUGGCAGAACAGAAAUGCUUCUAGGUGAUAAAAUAUUUUGACAUGUUAUUAUAAGGAUCAUGCAUGGUGUUUCAGCUGGUAUUUUAAAGCAAUACUUUAUUUUUUUAAAAUCCAUGUAGUCUGUAUAUAUGUGUACUUUGCAGAUAAAUCCAAAGUGUUUCCAGCUUUGGGUUUGCCAACAUAGGUGCAUCGAUGCAUAAGGAAUUGAAUUUCUUUUUCUUUAGGAAAUGAUGUCAGAUAUGGAUGCCCACACGUUAGAAAAAUGCAUUGCUGAAGAAGGCCGGCUUUUCAAAGAGCAGGAAAAAUGCAGACAUGAGUUAUCCAGGCUUGCACAUCUGGCUUGGCUCAAAGCUGAAGAGAGGGAACGGAAAUCUAGGGAUGUUCAGAAAGCCCAGAACACUGCAGAAACAACAUCUGAAGAAUGCAAAUAAUGUAGCAAUUACAGACAGUCUCAAAAGUGAUUAUCGCAAAAUCGUACAGAUCAUGCAGGAGAUGAAAGAAAAGAAAAUGCAACAGUGUUUGGCUCUUGAGAGGCUUACCAGCAUGGUCACCCACGCUGAAGAGGAAAUGGUGCAGCUACGCAAACAGUACAAAAGGGCUAUACAGCAACAAAAUGAGAGGUAUAAAUGUAAAUUUGAUGUAAUAUAGUGUUUAAUUUUGACAUUCAGGAAUCAAAAAUAUUUUUCAACUUACGAGCACUCUAAAUUAGGAGU